GAAAUAACGAAAUAAACAGCUGGUUAACUUUGUAGGAACAUGGCUGUAGCUCUGCAAUGACUUUAUGUGGUACAGGUGAAAGGAGUAAUAACCAAAUAAACGGAAUAUAAAACGGAAACGCUUUCAAGCGUUUUCUGUUCACCCAAACUAGAUGGGUGUACUGUCAUCUUUUCAGUAAUUUUUAGCAUUUGCAUGUUGUUGUAUAUGAAUAACGAAAUUAAGUUUGACAAAACUGUGAAGAGUUCCGUGUCUACAUGAAAGCGGGCAGAACAACGUCCGUCUAUGACUCACUGCCGAAAGCGGCUGGUGAAACAUGGCUGUAGCUCUGCAAUGACUUAUUAUGUGGUACUGGUGAAAGGGGAAAUAACGAAAUAAAUGGAAUAUAAAACCGAAACGCUUUCAAGCGUUUUUUUGGUUUAUAAUAUAUUUUUAAUUGCACAUUUGUUAAAACUAGAUGGGUGAGCGGUGUACUGUCGUCUUUUCUGCAAUUUUUAGUAACGUUACAGUGAAAUAAUGUGUGAACUUUAUUUAGUUUUUUUGUAAAUAAGCAAAGCAGCAAAACUGUUUUAUUGUCUUGUUAAUGUUUUUUAUUGCUUCCUUCGGUGAGACCGCAACAAUGACACUCGUCCUUUCACGUUGUAAAUCCAAGCACAUAGCGGUGGAACAUUGUAACAGUGGAUGUCACUCAUAGACUCAUAGGAACAUGAGUAGGAACCCUGCUCUGCCUUGCAGGCAGCAGCAGGGUCAGCGAGCCCAUGCGUCCCACCCCACAGAGAGCGUCGGUGAUGGCCCUCUUUACGUAACAAAAGCGGCUCUUGGCAGCGGGAUGUUGUGAUUAUUGUUACUGUUCAUUUGUCACAGAUUAGGAGAGUAAGAUUCAAGAACCAUCGGUUUCAAAUUUGGCGGACUAUGUACGUCUGCAUUCUAUUAACCAUUCACAGAACCAGCUUCAGCCCCGCCCAGACAAACCUGGACCCCUAAUUGUACCUGCAACAUUGUGUUUCAGUCACUCACUAUGCACUGUAGCAUAGUAGGUGGCGGUAAUGCACCUUUCAGUUGGUUGCCACCCGCCAUUUAAAAGACAAAAGAAGAAGUCACUCACUGUGUCAUGAACUGACAUGAGGCCAUUAUGGUUCAGAAAGUGCUCCGUUGUUGGUUGUUUCAACCAGCAUUGCAGCCUUUUCAUUUUACCAGCGGAGCCAGAAAGGAGAACUUUAUGUUAUUGUAAAUGGGCCGGUGCUGGCACCGCUGCCUAAAUGCUUCUUUGUGUGUGGACACCAUUUCACCUAUAUAUCCUUGUUUUGAAAACAAGGAUAUAUAUAUUACUGGGCUUGAAGUUGAAGAGGCGCUCCGUUCCUACAAGACGUGAUCCACUUGCUGCUUCCCCAAACGUAAGUACAUGCUUGAUAUUUAUUUGAUUAUGUACUUCAGAAGUUUCUUUGUUUAUAAUGUAGGUUCUCUCCUGUGUAAGGAAUGCUAAUGGCUAGAACAGUUGCUGCUAACAACGACAGAGAGAGACCGUGUUGCAAGGUGCUGCCAAAUAAUUUGGAUGAGUCUAAGCUUCUCCAGCAUUCGUCCGGUUCGAAUCGUGUGAUGUAUGGUACUGAGGUCAUUCACUCAGCUCAGAUUUUAGCUGCUAGUGCCAUGUUAGUCACUAGCACGAUGCUAGCGCCUUAGCGGCUAGCCUCCACAUGACGUUCAGUACAACUUGGGUUUGGCUGCGCUAGUAAGUUGUGAGAGUCAGUUGUGUUUCUAAUUACUACCGAGCUUGUUGUGUGUAUGUCGUAGCCCAAGUAGACCUGUGAAUUUGGGUUAUGGCAAGUUCUAUCUAAGUCUAACAUGUAUGUUGUUGCUGUCUUCUCAUAUGUGUUGCUUAACUAGUCAGCUAACUGUAAAUGUGACUGUUUUUUUUUUAUACAGGCUGGUGCAUCAUAGCUACCGAAACGCCACUGCAGGCUGUGGACACCUUGUAGAAAAGUUGUUACUCACCUCAGGAGCGAAAGUGUUAUGGUGCAGUUUAUGUGGAAAAGCUGAUGGAGACCAUCUUCAAUAAAGUCCUGCUGGACCCAGGUCGUUAUAUGGAGGACCUUAUUAAAAUCCCUGUCCCACCGGCCCUCUGAGCAGAAUUUAAGGAGCCUGACAGAAAGGAGGUCAUUAAUGUCAUGCCAAGAUUUAACAAACCAUCACUAUAAAAGAGUGGUGUCAAGGAAAACAGCUGCAUCCUCCAUCUGUACAGCAGCUGCACUGCUUCCGAUGUCUUUCAAAACGUGAUGAAGACAACAAAGAUCCUCACAUCUCCCCAGCCAACUGCCCAUGACUGUACCUGUUCCACUCCAGAAACUAUUUUUUCAACAUAAGUAUGAAUCCUACCCAUUCAUUUUGUGGUCUGCACAUUGUGAACUUAUCCAGCAUUAUAGUGCUGGUGCAUUGGUUGACAAUAAAAAGUUAGCUUUGA